UAUUUUAUUGUUUUAAUACGUGUAUUGAAAGAAAAGAAUGAAGCCUAUGUAGGCAGCUAACAAUGUGUCAUUGUGUUCGGAUCUGUAGGUGUUUCCCGAGCGGAGGGAGAGAAUGGCUCCGCUGUCGGCUCAAUGCCCACAGGAACGAAGCGGGGACCAGCGCAUCGUAAGACAACGCACAGCGGUGACUCAGCCUCCAGCAGCAGAAGCAGUGUGAGAACACAAACCGGGGCUUAGAAGCGAGCUCGCUCAUUACAUCAGCGCUCAGGUGUUGUCUCCUCGUUUUAUGAGCAGCCAGACGAGGCCGGAGUUUAGAGCUGUGUGUCAUUAAGGCCCGCGGACCGCUUCAAGGUUCUGUGGUACCUCUGCUGGAAGACGUCUCCGUGGUUGAGUCACUGCUUAGAAAGCUUCCACAUCCUGCCUUCGCUGAGACACCAGGAGGAUAGACAGACAGAUAGAUAUGUAUUAUCUGAGGUGUUUACCAAAGCCGCACUACAGAGUAGAGAGAGGAGCCCACAGCACAUACACAUCAAGCGAAGGAUGUUCCAGUGCUCUGAUUUCUCAAGCAGAUAUACAGAAAACCCAUCGCCAAAGAAUGAAGAUGCCUUUUUGAAAAACGUGGAGCAGAAGGUAGUGUUUGGUUUUUAUGAGCAUUAACAUGAUGCUAAGCAGUAAAGCAUGAGCUUUACAUCAAUAUAUGGACAGACUGAUUUCCUCCUGCUUGUUGGAAUGCUGCAGUAGUCAAGGUGCAGUAAG
rnacentral:lncRNA from 1 species